AGUUGUUACAUCUGAAGGUCUACGGAAGGGUGUGGUAGUACAGCUCUCUUGACACCAGUUGUACAUAGCUACUAUAUCCUAAUGUAAGAUACCCAACGUUGGAUAACUACACCAGGUUCUUCUAACUUCCACCAGGGAAUGAGGAAGUGAGAAGAGAUGAAUAGAAGACAGGAAAUAUUGGAAGUGAGAGAGCAAGGAAAAGAUUGGAGAGGAAGAUAGCAAAAGGCAACUACCCAUUCCCCCCAGGUCCGAACACCCGGAGUCGGCUCAACCCCCAGGAUCCCGCUUUCCCCAGACAGCUACAAGCAGGAGGGUCCUACCCCCAUGUGCUCGGUUAACAGAGGAACAUGAAGACAUGAAGAACAUGAAGACGCUAUCUCAAGAGAAGACAGAGCAGAGUCCCGCGGAACGCCUGGCCUCCUAAACGCCAGGGAACGACGCUCCAGAUCGAGAACAACGUCUCCAUCCACCACCAGAUCCUUAACCCGGUCCGGCUCCAGGACACCGGGGACACGAUCCAGAUCCAGGUCCAGAACUAGGCCAUCCUCUUCAGCAAACCAGACUAACACGGUGAGCUGGGCAGACGUGGUCGAUGGCGUGCGCCCGGGGGCUGGUGGGGAGACUGCCAUUAAUAACGAGGUCAAGCAACUAAAACACGAGAACGCGCAGUUGAGGAUUUUGCUAGCCCGUAUGAGCGAUGAAAUCAAAAUUCUCGAGGAAGGAAAAAACCAAAUAAAUCAGGUAACUCCCGCUCCACACGCGAGCACGAAAGAGCCAUUUGAAAUCCCGGACAAUAAGAUGGACGAAGGGGAUGACCCCCCCUCCACUUAAAUGCAAGGCCCAAGCCAUCAGUGAUAAACAAGAUAACGCAGUGGUAGAUAAAGCAUUAGCCGAUAUUCAAAAGAGCCUAGCAGAAAUACAAAAGUCAAAUGAAAAACGGGAUGAAAUGAUGAAUCAAAUGGCUAAGGCAAUAGUAGCAAUUAUGAGUAGAUUAGAAAUCCUAGAGGCAAACCAGUCACCAGGUAAUGGACUCCCCUCCGUUGCGUCAGAAGCCCCACGAUCCUUACCCACUUCACAACCACAUAAUUAUAUAAGAUCAGCUUCUCUCCAACCUCCCGUCUCCCUCCCAUGGUCGCACCCGAAAUGAGGCGCGCUAAAGAAGGGUUCAGGAUAUGGCAGUGGAAUUGUAGAAGUUACGAAAACAAAAAGUCAGUUUUGCAGCAGCAUUUGAAAGGCAAGGAUACACCGGACGUCAUAAUUCUGCAGGAAACACACGGGAUUGCAAAGCUAGCAGGAUACAGAUCUUUUGGCUAUGUCGAAAGGGACACCAGGGCAUUAACUACGCUGGUAAAAAGAAACAUAACUUGCAUGCAGCACAACACAGGCAUAACGCACAUUGACAAUAUUCUAUUUGAACUCAUCCCACAAAAAAAGACAGGACGUAGCUUAUUUAUUCUCAACAUUUAUAGUAACCCCAUGCUACAUAAACACAAAUUCAAGAACCUAUUCCAGAAAACACUCAGACUUGCUGGAGAAAAUCUGGUAGUUAUAGGAGGAGACUUUAAUGCCCCACACACCACGUGGGGAUACUUAUAUACCAGAGCAAAAGGAAGGGACUUAUGGAACGACUCGCAAGAAUUAGGCCUCACGCUCGUCACAGACCCCGCCACUCCAACCAGAGUAGGCACGGCGCUAAACAGGGACAUAACCCCAGACCUAACCUUUACCAAGAAUAUUGAAAAGGCGACGUGGCACAACACACUGGAAGAUUUGGGUAGUGACCACCGCAUAUUGGAGUUACACGUCAGAGAAGGGCCGAAUAGACCCAAGGAACAACAGAUCAAAUUAGUAGACUGGGAACUAUUUCGUAGAACGCGAGAGAAGACACAUCAACGAUCAAUCGCAGUCAUAGAACAAUGGACUAAGGAGCUCAGUGAUGACGUCAAAGCUGCCACAAAAAUAGCACCACCUGAAUCUAACUUGGAUAAAUGCGACAGCAGACUUCUACACAUGUGG